CAUGUGGUUUAAUUCGAUGAUACGCGAGGAACCUUACCUGGGCUCAAAUGUAUGUUGACGUAUUCUGAAAGGGAUACUUCUUCGGACAAUAUACAAGGUGCUGCAUGGUUGUCGUCAGCUCGUGCCGUGAGGUGUCGGGUUAAGUCCCGUAACGAGCGCAACCCUUGUCCUUAGUUACCAGCACGUUAUGGUGGGCACUCUAAGGAGACUGCCGGUGACAACCGGAGGAAGGUGGGGAUGACGUCAAGUCAUCAUGGCCCUUACGGCCUGGGCUACACACGUGCUACAAUGGUCGGUACAAAGGGUUGCCAAGCCGCGAGGUGGAGCUAAUCCCAUAAAACCGAUCGUAGUCCGGAUCGCAGUCUGCAACUCGACUGCGUGAAGUCGGAAUCGCUAGUAAUCGUGAAUCAGAAUGUCACGGUGAAUACGUUCCCGGGCCUU
rnacentral:rRNA from 1 species